GUUCCAAAGGCUUCUUUCUCCUCUUCAUUUUUGUUUACGUUCCUGAGGUUUACGUUGUUUGGGGUUUGGUUGGGGCUGCCGGCUGUUUUUCUUGGAAAAAGCCAUGGUGGAGCGCAGGAUGUCCUUGCUGUGCUUCUUCGUGGAACAUUCCCCUGCUGGAGAUCACUCUGUGUUUCUUAAAAACAUGGAACCAGCCCAGCAGUACCAAGCAGCCAGAUAAUUAUGGCCAGUGGAUUCAUUGCUGUAGAUCCACGUUGCACCCAGUUGUGACAGGGCCUCUCCAGGGCUUUUGCUGCCUCCACCACCAUCGGUCAACAUCCAGGAAGGAAGACGUUUCUAAGGAAACCACGGAGGCUUUCCACCAAGGUGGUUGCAUGAAAGCGCUGAACUGGUGAGAGUGACAAAAAGCAGUUCAUUGGAUAAUGUAGAAAAAGGUAAAAAGUUAUUGCACACAGACUGUUUUUAUAAUGAGGCCAUUCAGGCAUAAAAUCACUUUAAAUAGGUAGUUUGUUUCCACAUUGCAGAAUUAUUUUCGUCCUACUCUUUCAAGGGGCAGUUUAUCUAGGCACAGUGGUGCAUAAAUAAUAAAUAGCCCUAGGGGCAAGGCAUUUUUACUUUUUUUUCCCCUGCUUCGUAUCCUGUUGCAGUUGGUCUCGGGCUGCAAAAUGAAUUUUGUUUUCUAAAAUAAUAUUAUUUACUUUGAGUGCAGUCCUCUGCAAGAUGCCAUGAAUUCUCUUCUGCAAUUGCAAUGUCCCAAACCAGACAGGAGCUUUUCAGUCCGGUCUUUUUGCUAAAUGGCUUUUCUGUGGGUUGCAGAGUGGCUUGCUGGGAGGACAGGUACAGUGCCAUUAGCUCACAGACCUCCAAGAAAGCCAUGUGUGCAUCCAGUGUUUGGACCAGGUACUCAUAUGUGGUGCAAAUGGUCUGGGAUAAACCCAUGGAGACCUGAAACGUAGGUUUGCCAUAAAGGUUGUUGGUGUGAGGAGGAGGUAACAGCUGACAUACUGAGAAUAUACUUAGACUUACACUUAGAGAUUCUCUGGACAAAUAAGACAGGUUCAUUUCUUCUGUUUCCUGAGAUAUUGCACAUCUCCUGCAGUAACUGCAUCUGUUAUUGCAGCCAACAGACCAGAAGGCCAUGCCAAGAUCUGCUUGGAGAUCUGGAGUCUUAUCCUGACUUCAGGGAGCUUCCAAGCUUUGAUCCCAUGGUAGUGUCAGAAGGUCUGGAGCAAGCCAGCCAUCAGCACCCGCUCGGAGGAGCCAAUUCAGGAUCUGACUCACCAGCCCAAAUUGAGAUUCCUUGUUUACUUUGGUCAUAGAUCCCAGCUUUGCUGGUAUGCUUGACGGGAAAGAAAGGGGGCUGGGGACCUUUCCCUUUUCACCUCUUCCUUGGAUUGCCUUCUGUACAUCUGAAAGGAUGGACGAUGGUUGUGGAAGAGUCAAGAAGACUAUAUUUGGACGUGGGAGACUUCAGGCUCGGUGUGGAGAUCCCAGAAGGAUGAAACACACUGCAGGUGGGCUCUGGGAGAGGAGCAACAAGGAUUUGCGAUAGGGAAGGGAUUAGGUUCAAUGAGCUCUGGUGAACAGCUUCCACCUCCUGUGCUAGAGAGGUCCAGUCAUUGUGUCACAAGUGUGGGCCCAAGGGAAAUAAAUAGAACACGUUAAGGAAGGAUCAGCCUGAAAGGAUCCAGACAUGCAAUAAAGCCCCAGGUUGCUGAUGGGGGAGGGAAUGAAAUUCCUGCUCUCCUCAAAGCAGUGAGUGAUUAGCUCUAAAAGCCAUGUGCCAACGCUCCUCCGGCUGCCGUUGUUCAAGAUAAAAUAACAGGUCAUCUGUUGGAGCAGAGGUCCUUCCAGACUGAGGUCUAAUUUCUGUUCUCCGGGGGCUUAAGUGCUGGUUCAAAGGUCACCAAGCAGCACCAGUCACCGAGCAAGGACGAAGCUCAUUUUCACUCAAAACAGAGCCUGCAGAGCAGGACUCUGCAUGCAGUCAAUCACACACAGCUUGGAUCUGCACAUUCUCAACGGAGAAGGAGAUGUUUGGAGAUCAAUAGUGCAGACGGAUGGUGCCAGAGCAGAUGCUAGUGCAGAGAUAGGGCUUACCUUCCCUCACGUAGCCAAAAAGCUUGAAGCACAGAACUGCUGAAUAAAUUAUAGGAGCUACAGAUAAGCUUGUGGGGGACCUCCGUGGAUCUGCACACCAAAACUCCAUGACUCCAUCCAGGAACCACAUUAUUGCUACGCCAACUGUGCCUUCAGCUGAGUGGUGGAUGAUCUUCAUCCCAACAAAAGAUGCUUGUGGGGCACGGACAAAACUUUACCUGAUUGUCUGGAGCCAGCACAGAAAAGCAUAACUUUGGGCUUCUUAAGAUCUACAGAUAGGAACCUCCUGGCAGCGUGUGCAGAAACGAUCAGGCCCACAAGGACAACACGGGACGAAUCAAUCAUACAAGAUGGAUGAGGCCACUGGGUGAUGCUUGGGUGAAAACCGCUUCCAGAUUUCACACCAGCUUCACUUUUGUGCCCCGGCUGAAAACACAGCUUUAUUGCAUGACCAUAAGUAACGCAGGAAGGCACUCACCACUCCGUUUUGUGCAGCUUUUGUUUGUGAUAGUUUUAAUUUACUGCUGAAGUGAAUCUGAGACUGAUAAUUUUAUGAUUUUUUACCGAGAAAAGACAUUAAGCUACUUACUUUGGCUGCACUUCCUACUCUGCAGAAAUUAUUUAUCCAAGCGCAGCAGCAAAGUGGGUCAGGGGAGGAAUAAUAAUAAUAAUAAUAAUAAAAAGAAACUGCCCACAAAAAUCUUGAAUCCCUUGCAGAAGUUGGAUUAAGCCUCAAGAUACUGGAUGCAAACCGCUGCCACGUUCUCCAUUUCAAAGGAAAGGUGUCAGUUCAGGCAGCGAUGUAAAAGGCUGCAAAGUUUGGGCUGCAAAAUCUCCUUCCCAACGUUUGCCAUGCUGGUCACAAAGGAACAAAGAGCUGGAUUUGGUUCUGCAAGCUGCUCUGCCUUUUCCUCAAGGGAUAUAAACCCCAAGGAGUGAGUUGCUUCAUUGAUUCUAUGAAAAAGAGCAGAGAAAGCACUUGGGAAAGUAUGGGUAAGCAGCAGUGCUCACAGGGAGGAGGGGAGAACAGGGAAGAGAAAGCUUUUUUUCCUGUAUUUUCUACCACCAACUGCUCAGUUUGGGUGAAAUAGGAGAGUCACAUCUUUUCCCAACUCUCUAAAGUGAGGCAACUUUGCUGAGGCCCCGGCUUGAACCGUACUGUGCCCAGAUAUCAUCAGAUCCUGCACAAGAAAAAUAAAGAGCUCAAGUUGCAAGAGAAGAGCGAUGGAGGAGUGAAACUCGAGAGGAGCAUGCAGUUUGCUGACAGCUCCCUGCAGUUCAAACCAACCCAUCAGGGCCGCAGUAAAGCCUUGGAGCAGCAGCAUUCUGCUCCAGGAAAAUCAACAUGGUGCAGCUGGGAGGGGAUUAUGCUCAUGCAGAACGAUCUCUGCAGUGGCACCAGGGGAAGAGAUCACACCAUUUGCAAAAGCGAUCUGUGCAGGUGAGAAGGGAAGCACAAGCCACACCAGCAGCUCAGCUAAUCAAAAAGGAUCUAGCAUUAAUAAGCCAGAAGUGGAGGAAAAGAGAUAAAACCUGGCAAGGCUGUUGGCAGAAGGAUGCUUUUCUCACCUCACCAGCAGGAAUCCAACCCACAAAAACCAAAUGCAUUUCUUACAUUAGACAAUUAAAACCCAUCUUAAUCCUGAGAGACUUCAGGUGGCAUAGCAUGCUGUUAUUUAAUUGCGCCUUCCAGGGCUGAUUAGCUAUCCAAGCAGCAAGGCAUCUCCACCUCCAGUAAAAGUAAAGGAAGAGAGAGCAGUGGGAUGGAACCUCUAGACAAAGAAGGUACAACAGCCAGUGGGAUCAAAGUAACUCCAAGUUGAACAAAGUCUGAUCUUAGAGAGGCUAACUGGAAUUUUAUUCCCAGUUUCUAUAAGGGCAUCAGUAGUGGUUGUAGAUCCAGGCACGGUAUGGGUGAGAUGGGGUGCAGGUGGGCUGGAUGCAGUCUGCUGGAUCCCAGCCUUGUCAGGAAAUUCAGUUCAUUCUUCAGAGCGAUGUUGUCAGUGACCUCCGUUGACUGUGUGGAGCAUCACAGACAGCCCUGUGAGCACAGCCCACCUCUCCGCUCUGGGAAAUAGCUCAGAACACCAAAAUCACAAGUAGAAAAGUGCCUGAACCAGCAGGAACAGGCCUUCAGCUGGGAAGGUGGGUAAAUUUGGAGCAAGAAGACCAGUGUUUGCAAAAUGAAAUUCCAGAAUGAUUUCAGAUUGCCUUGAUUAAAGCCAGAUUUGUUGCCUUGUGUCCAUUUUAGGUUAGCGGUGAGGUUGCUUCUUUUCCAUAGGUGUUUCCAUGGCUACUUAACGAAGCUUUCGCUCUAGCUUCUCACUUGGAAAAUAGGAAUUGGGACAAAUUUGAAGAGCUUUUAAAGGGGUGAAAAAAUAGCUGAGUUGAUUUGGCCUCUCCUCUACUCAUCCACCCUCCCUGACAAGACAGAUGUGACACUGGUCUCCACAAAGUGAUUAGAGGUGAGACCUGUGGGCAAACUGGGAAGUACAGCCCUGCCUGUCCCAUGCGAUCAUCCUUACUGAAAUGUUUCAAAUAAGCCUCAGCUUGCUUGCAGAUGUCAGGAUGGAGCAGAGAAGUUCAUUUCCUCCUGCAAGUGAAAGGUCACCGAGGAGCAGCACUCAUGGCAAUCUCCAUGUGUACCCAGCAGACAUGAUGAGAGGGACGUUUGCCACACAGGCAGCGCUUGUUGCAGCUCUGGCUUGCACUGGCUGUACAUAUUCAACCUCAACCAACCUGUCUUCCUAAAUGUUGCAUCCAUCGUCCAGUCUGGGAUUUCACAGGCAAUCUGGUGCCAGGAGCCAUUUGGAUGAUGCCAACCUGCUGAACACACCCAGGUAAAAGCCCAGUGCAUGCUUUGCUGGGUCGAGCCCAUGCACAUCCUCCCAUUCAGGACCACACUUUCUUGUCCUUACCCCAGGGAUGGCACUGCAUGUUGGGAUCUGCUCAUGGCUGCCCCCUCUUUUGGCAUCACCUCUGCCCAUCAAUGCCUUCCGGGGACAUAUUCACACUUCUCAAACCCACAGCUUUGGAGUGGGUUUAAAACUUUCCCCGGGCACAUUCCUAGGGCCUCUGGUUUCCAAACUGUCAGGAAUUUGCCACACAAACAUGCUCCUCCCCUUGAUUUGUUUCUUCCAAGUAAUUAGAUCGGGGAUUGUUUGUUACCUGUCAUACCUUGGUUUAAGCCAUUUGGGAACAAAGUGGGAGAAGAAAAAAAAAAAAUGAGAGGCUCACAGAGGAUUAAGACUGCUGAUUGUAGUAACAAGAGAAGGUAUUUUAAUGACAGGUUUAAGACUUGCUAAGUAACUGCUGUGAGGAUUAUGAAUAUAUUUUGUAACAGGGUAAGAUUAGCAGAUAAUCCCUUAGGAAAAAAAAAAAAAGAGAGAGAGAGAGAGAAAGAUUGUGAACUUUUUGAAUCUUUUUCAAAAGAAAAAUAAACUACAAAAACACAAAAAGCCUUAAAAAAUUCUACACGUGGAAAAUUUUCCUUUUGAAACAUUGGCAUCAUUAAGUAUUUUUGGGUCAGUAUCUUUGGCGGGAUUAUGCUGAUGUACCUUAACGUGAGUAAAGAAAUGCUGAUUUAUAGCACAUUUAAUCUGAGCGUUUCUUAAAGUAACUAACGUGCUUCUUGCCAAGGAGCAGCCUGGCAUCCUCAGCUGCAGGGAGCAGUCCUCAAGGAGCAAGCUGACUUUCUUAGAAAAUGAGCUCUUGCUCCGGAACAAUGCCGUCAUUGAUACCUAAAUGUCAUAUGGAAAUUUCGAGGACACUUGGGGCCUUUCUCUUUCCUGACUCCAUGAGACCUGAUCUUAACCCUCGCCAAACAGGAUGUCUGACCAACCAUUAGCUUUGGAUUUGACCCUUUCUUUCUAUUCAUCGUGAGGAAGGGAAGCGAUGCACAAAAAGCUGUGUUUUCAUUAAUUAUCAGCAGUAGGAAUUCACUGCCUGAAACAUCUUCUUCUUGGCUGUAUGUACAUGUUUCUAUGUUCAUGAGAUCUGUGUGGGCAGAUCUCUGCUGACAAAGGAUGUUUUUCCAAGCAGUGCUGGAGCUCUGCAAAACCAGCUGAAGACUUGGCUGCUUGAAACUGAUGAGGGGUAGUGUUGCUCAGACCUCUACCAACUAUGAUGCAAACCCAUAGAAUCAUUAAGGUUGAAAAGACCAAUAAGAUCAUCUAGUGCAAUC